rnacentral:rRNA from 1 species
AUGAACGCUGGCGGCGUGCCUAAUACAUGCAAGUCGAGCGAACAGAUGAGGAGCUUGCUCCUCUGACGUUAGCGGCGGACGGGUGAGUAACACGUGGAUAACCUACCUAUAAGACUGGGAUAACUUCGGGAAACCGGAGCUAAUACCGGAUAAUAUAUUGAACCGCAUGGUUCAAUAGUGAAAGACGGUUUUGCUGUCACUUAUAGAUGGAUCCGCGCCGCAUUAGCUAGUUGGUAAGGUAACGGCUUACCAAGGCAACGAUGCGUAGCCGACCUGAGAGGGUGAUCGGCCACACUGGAACUGAGACACGGCCCAGACUCCUACGGGAGGCAGCAGUAGGGAAUCUUCCGCAAAGGGCGAAAGCCUGACGGAGCAACGCCGCGUGAGUGAUGAAGGUCUUCGGAUCGUAAAACUCUGUUAUUAGGGAAGAACAAAUGUGUAAGUAACUAUGCACGUCUUGACGGUACCUAAUCAGAAAGCCACGGCUAACUACGUG